GAGUCCGAAAGAGGUGAGUGGAAUUCCCAGUGUAGAGGUGAAAUUCGUAGAUAUUGGGAAGAACACCAGUGGCGAAGGCGGCUCCCUGGAUCGGACUGACGCUGAGGUGCGAAAAGCGUGGGGGACCAAACAGGAUUAGAUACCCCUGGUAGUCCACGCCGUAAAACGAUGAGUGCUAGCCGUCGGACACCAUGCUGUUUGGGUGGCGCAACUUAACGCAUUAAGCACUCCCCCCUGGGGGAAGACGGGCCCCAAAGUUAAAAAUCAAAGGAAUUGACGGGGGGCCCCCCCAACCGGUGGAACCUGGGGGUUUAUUUCAAGCCACGCGCAAAAACUUUACCACCCUUGAA
rnacentral:rRNA from 1 species